GACGAACGCUGGCGGCGUGCCUAAUACAUGCAAGUCGAGCGAAGUUUUUCUGGUGCUUGCACUAGAAAAACUUAGCGGCGAACGGGUGAGUAACACGUAAAGAACCUGCCUCAUUGACUGGGACAACUAUUGGAAACGAUAGCUAAUACCGGAUAACAGUAUUUCUCGCAUGAGAGAUAUUUAAAAGUUGGUUAUGCUAACACUAUGAGAUGGCUUUGCGGUGCAUUAGCUAGUUGGUGGGGUAAAGGCCCACCAAGGCGACGAUGCAUAGCCGACCUGAGAGGGUGAUCGGCCACACUGGGACUGAGACACGGCCCAGACUCCUACGGGAGGCAGCAGUAGGGAAUCUUCCGCAAUGGGCGAAAGCCUGACGGAGCAACGCCGCGUGAGUGAAGAAGGAUUUCGGUUCGUAAAGCUCUGUUGUUAGGGAAGAAUGGAUAUGUAGUAACUAUACAUGUAAGAGACGGUACCUAACCAGAAAGCCACGGCUAACUACGUG
rnacentral:rRNA from 1 species